rnacentral:rRNA from 1 species
CCUACGGGUGGCAGCAGUGAGGAAUAUUGGUCAAUGGGCUUACGCCUGAACCAGCCAAGUCGCGUGAGGGAUGACUGCCCUAUGGGUUGUAAACCUCUUUUGUCAGGGAGCAAUUCGCGCUACGUGUACCUUUCUCGAUAGUCCCUGAAGAUAAAGCCUCGGCUAACUCCGUGCCAGCAGCCGCGGUAAUACGAAGGAUGCGAGCGUUAUCCGGAUUUAUUGGGUUUAAAGGGAGCGUAGGUGGAUUGUUAAGGCAGUUGUGAAAGUUUGCGGCUCAACCGUAAAAUUGCAGUUGAAACUGGCAGUCUUGAGUACAGUAGAGGUGGGCGGAAUUCGUGGUGUAGCGGUGAAAUGCUUAGAUAUCACGAAGAACCCCGAUUGCGAAGGCAGCUUACUGGACUGUAACUGACACUGAGGCUCGAAAGUGUGGGUAUCAAACAGGAUUAGAUACCCGAGUAGUC